rnacentral:tRNA from 1 species
GCCUGGGUGGCUCAGUCGGUUGAGCAUCCGACUUCGGCUCAGGUCAUGAUCUCGUGGUCCGUGGGUUCGAGCCCCGCGUCGGGCU